UGACACCUGGCCUUAGAUCCAAGUGGCAGUAUCAAGCACCUCCCCUACUCCCAAAUUAUAAACUCCUUACCCAUCYCAAUGGUGAUGUGGCCUUUAAAACGGCUAAUUCCAUAAUGACCAUCCGUGGCCCGUGCCCUCCACUUUUUCUCCAAUACCCUCUACUCCUCUUCCUAUACGAAGACUGGCAGGUAACAAAAACCUGAUUAAAACCAAUGUCUUAUCACUCUCCACAGCCAAGGACACGGCUUGACCACGGUUCUCUGCAGCAUUAAUGGCAACCUUUCGGUUAGCCCGUAAUCAGGGGCCGUCACGCCCGGAAAUGAAAUCUCCAGCACAACCCACUUGGGACUACCGUAUCAUUUCCUUAAGUUGUGCCCGUCGCCAGCGCCGCGCGCACGACCCCGAGGAGACCGCCGCGGGCCCCGGGCACGGCUGCCUCGCCUCGGGCCUGCAGGUCACCCGCGCCGCUCGGCCACGCGGCGGGCCCGGUAGGAUCCCCGCGAGCGCGCCCUGCUCCAGGGCUGCCGCAACCGGCGCUCGGCACAACCCGAGGCGAAAGUCGGGCCAGUCGCCUCUGGGGACCGCGCUCGGGCGCAAGAGCGUGUCACCAGAAGGACCCCGGGCGGCCCCAGUCUGCUCCUGCCUCAAGGCACRCCACCUUCCAUCCAGCCCAGCGACCUUCAAAACAGGGACUAGGUGCAUCUCAUCUCCUGCCUCAAGGCACGCCACCUUCCAUCCAGCCCAGUGACCACCACCGGAUCCUUCAAAACAGGGACCAGGUGCAACUCAUCUCCUCCCUGCCCAGGGCCAGCAGAGUGCUUGGUCAAUGUUGGUGGGAAACAUGAACUGAAUUAAUAAGUGAAGAGAAGGAGGGACUUACCCAGUAUCACCCAGUAUCCGAAUGGAACCCAAGUCUGCAGGAUCAGCAGUCUCGGUGCUCGGGCCCUUCUGCUCUGUCUCCUAGUUCUGUGGUUAGGGCCAGAGACUCAAUGGCCCCAGACACAAGGCCCCACAGAGCCUGUUUCCACUCAGACCAUUCAGGCGGCCUCAGGUAUAGCUUCCCAACCAGCAGAGCUCCUCAUCCCCUGCAGGGUGU
rnacentral:lncRNA from 1 species